rnacentral:rRNA from 1 species
CUUAUUUAUUGUCCAUGUGCUAUCACAUCGGUCGAAAGAAGCUUUUCAAAAUUAAAAUUACUGAAGAAUUAUCUGAGGUCAACAAUGACCCAGCACAGGUAAAAUGGUUUGGCAAUAUUAUGCAUUGAGAAGAAAUUAUUGGAUGAUAUUGACAUCGACCACAUCAUAAGUGACUUUGAGUCGAGGAAUAUUAGGAGAAAUGUUUAA